AUCACUACAAGCUGUCCCGUCAUACGAACAUGGCAGAAACUUAUACAAUAAUAGUAUAUAGAGUGUCCUAAAUACAUUUAAUAACAAAACUAAAUAAAAUUAAAACUUCAACUCUUCAUUUGUAUUCAUGCUUCAUGUUAUCAUCUUACAAUGUGUAUCAGUUGUGUACCUGAGUGAUCAGCAGGAUAGCAGUAGCAAUACACAGCAACAACAGCAAACAACCACAGCAAAUACCCCAGACGAUGACUAGAAGUAAACUAGACUUGGACCCAAUAAGAUUCCAGGAAAAUACCAACUACUAUAUCACAAAAACAAGAAACAAUUAUUGUUCUUUCACCCUCGAGGAAAGUAAAUUCCUUUUAUUUUUUAUUUCUCAAAAUACUGAACUUAUUUUUCGUCCUCCAAAAUUCAGUCCCCCUUUAAGUGUCAAAUGACUCUUAUUUAUAUCUAAAACAAGACUCUCUCUUUUCUUUUUACCUCUUUCCUUUUACAUUUAAACUAUUAUUAUAAAUUUUUUUACCUCUUUUACUUUCCAGCCCAAUAUUCCUCUAACUAUGACUAUCUUUAACCCUUUUAUUAUUAUUAUUUAUACUGUCUCUAAUUCCAAUUAAGCAAAAAGUAGUCAACACGGACCCCACAGUCCCCCUUUUUCAAUUGUCAAAGAAGACCAUAUUAUUACCCCUUUUACUUUACAUAAUUAUGUCUUGUCCCCUACCACUACUUAAAUAAAUAUAUUAGAUUCUCACUACUAUAUGUCUUGUUUCCCAAUAUAUUAUUUUAAUAAUACUUUUGUAUUUAGUGGACAAAGCACUCAACAUAAAUGAUUGUCUAAAUUGUCAAUUCCCGUAUUACCACUGAAGUUACUAUUCUACCCCGUCCCUUCAAUUUGUACCAAAACAUAUCAGCUGACCAAAAUUGAUUCUUAAGUUAAACACCAAAUCAUUACAGCUAUAACAAAAUUCUUAAUCAAAUUCAAUAAUUAAUCUCCUGAACAAACUCAUAAAUCAAUAAUAUUUAAGAAUCACUUCAACAGAGUGAGAUUCACAUCAGAAAUAACUUAACAGAACAAUAAGUAGAUUCAACUCACUAAAAAUCAAUCAUCAAUUGAAAUUCAAAUUAACACCCAACAUCAAUACAACCAAGAGGAAAGAUUCAAUGAUUUAAUUAAGAGACAACAAAAAUGAAGCUAAAACAUGGUAGGAUAAUGAACACAAAAAUAAAAUACAAGCUAUAAACUCUAAAUAUUUUUUACACAAACUAUUAAAACAAAAUCAUACUAACAAAACAAAGAAGAUGAAGGACGAACCUGAAGGAGCUUGCUGGUUAAACCAAAAUGAAACAAUAAGAUAUCAGGAUCAAACGACCCAAAACAAAUGAGUUGAUCGUAACCUCAACGAACAACCCCGGUAGACAAAACUCUAACAAUAAUACCUUCAUAGAACUCAAUGGUUCCAAAACUGAAAAUCUGACGAGGAAACUAGUUAAACCCAACUGCCCGACUUUAUGCUUAUGACCGUGUGUGUGUGUAUGGUCGACGAGGAGGCUGGGGGACGACGGGCUGGGCAGAACUGGCUGGACGUUGGUCGUGACUGGACGAGUCGUUUGGUUAGCGUGUUUGGACGGUGGCUGACAACAGUUGAACGGAUCAUUGGGUGGAAGCAGAAGCAGAUGGCGGGCUGGAAGUUAGCUUGGACAUUGGUCGCCCAUAGAGGCGACAGGCUGGUUGUUGGUCGUUCAUGGAGGUGAGGGUGACGGGCUGGUGGAGUCAGGGACGACGGGGGGGGGGUCGUGUGGUGAUCGUUUGGGAUAACAGCAAGCUGGUCUGGCGUGAUGAGGGGAAGGGCUGUUUGACGUUAGGGUUUGUUUAGGGUGUGUUAGGAAGAAGAUGGGAAUGAGGCGUUUGGGGAGAGGUCUUUGUUUUUUAGGGUUUAUUUUCUUUGGUGAGGGAUUGAAAAAUGAAGAAAGGGGUAGUUUGGGCUAUGGGGCAGGGCAGA
rnacentral:lncRNA from 1 species